rnacentral:lncRNA from 1 species
AGUAAUCAACCAAGGGAGAUUAUUAUUUUGAGCAAUGCAGCUUAGGCCAUACCAUAAAUCCUUCCUCAAAUUUCUACGGGGACUCCCAUAAACACCUAUAAAGAACACCAAAUCUAUAACAUCAUCAAAUUUAAUUUUCAUGCGAAUAAACUGCAUAUGAUUAACCAUAACUUCGACACAGAUAUUAUCUUUACAUAGAACCCAAAUUCCACCUGAAUAUCCCACAGCUUCCACUUGAUGCGAAUAUGGCACACCAAUACUUUUAAUUGCUCUAUCAGUUUUUAAUCCACUAAUUCGGGUUUCCAUCAAAACCACAACACAAGGAUCUACUUCACGUAAAUACUCCAUAUUUCUACCAAAAUUAGGGUGCCUAGCACCUUGGUAAUUUUAUAAAAAAAUUCUUGACAUUAUAAAAAUCAAAAUAAAAACGGCCAAACCUUUGAGGGCACCAUCACUCAUCUGACGAAUCGUCCAUGAGUAUCGCGUCGCUUUCACCCCAUGGACCACUCUCGAUGGUCGACCUUGAAUUUGUCCAUUGUCAGCUUGGUCCAACACCACCAGUUCUGUGUUCCCCUCUCACGUAUUCACAACUUUACCCUUCACUUUCAGACGAUCCACCAUUCCUUAGAUAACCUGUCAACCAGGAUCCAUGCCAGCUAGGACAUCAAGAUUAUCCCCAUCUCCUCU